rnacentral:rRNA from 1 species
GCAGCCUGAUCCAGCCAUACCGCGUGGGUGAAGAAGGCCUUCGGGUUGUAAAGCCCUUUUGUUGGGAAAGAAAUCCAGCCGGUUAAUACCUGGUUGGGAUGACGGUACCCAAAGAAUAAGCACCGGCUAACUUCGUGCCAGCAGCCGCGGUAAUACGAAGGGUGCAAGCGUUACUCGGAAUUACUGGGCGUAAAGCGUGCGUAGGUGGUUGUUUAAGUCUGUUGUGAAAGCCCUGGGCUCAACCUGGGAACUGCAGUGGAAACUGGACGACUAGAGUGUGGUAGAGGGUAGCGGAAUUCCUGGUGUAGCAGUGAAAUGCGUAGAGAUCAGGAGGAACAUCCAUGGCGAAGGCAGCUACCUGGACCAACACUGACACUGAGGCACGAAAGCGUGGGGAGCAAACAGGAUUAGAUACCCUGGUAGUCCACGCCCUAAACGAUGCGAACUGGAUGUUGGGUGCAAUUUGGCACGCAGUAUCGAAGCUAACGCGUUAAGUUCGCCGCCUGGGGAGUACGGUCGCAAGACUGAAACUCAAAGGAAUUGACGGGGGCCCGCACAAGCGGUGGAGUAUGUGGUUUAAUUCGAUGCAACGCGAAGAACCUUACCUGGCCUUGACAUGUCGAGAACUUUCCAGA